CGAACAAUAUUCGGACCGUCGGUCCACCGAGCAAUAUCACCCGCUCGGUGGAAGAUCUUCCCUCCGUCGUUUAAG
rnacentral:pre_miRNA from 1 species